rnacentral:lncRNA from 1 species
GCUCUGUGAGAUGGGCUUUUAGAAGAGCAUCUGAUCGUGUCAACCUUCGCUUUUAUCUUGGCGGGGCAUCCAUUACCACCUGUGGUCGAAAAGCAGCGUGGGAGGGGAGGUGUCGGAGCCCUUCCUUCGGCUAGGGCUGAGUGCCAGUGGCCUGUUGGCCCAAGGCAAAGGUUGGCAUACAUGUCAAGAGAAUGUUCUCCAGCUGGGGUCUGCAGUAUGGAGAAUUGUAUAUACCCGAGUGCUCCAGGGACCUUCCUCAGACUAUUAUGGUAAUAUUGGAGACUGCUGUCCUCUCCCUCCCACAGCUGGGCCGCCUCUCCGAUUCACAGAAGAAGGCAUCCGUGGGGCCUGUAUAAUCACCGGGUCUCUCCAAGCCUGCACACCUCCUUUGGAUGACAUCUCCUUUCGACUCACAUUGUUGGAGCAGCUCCUCAAUAUCUUUUCAAGGUAAGCCCGAAGAUGUGGCAAAAAAAGGAGAGAAGUUCUUCCAGAUUUAUGUCUACAGCUCUGCUGUAGGACUGUCUUGAUUCCCAUUCAGCUCGAAGGUUUAAUGACAUCAUUAUUGCACUGUCUGAACUUGAUUUAACUCA